GUGCAGCAGUCACGAAACCUUCGCAAUGCAGGAAACUGCGACGAGGGAACUCCAAGUGCCUACGCUCAGCGUAGGCUGUUCUCAAGCCUAGAAAGCUUGAGGAGUAAGGGCUGGGUAAGACGGGUGCCAUCUGUGGUAGCAGUCAAUAGAUUCGAUUUGUUACUGCAAGGCAUAAGCCGCCGCGGUAAUACCCGCAGCCCAAGUGGUGGCCGCUUUUUAUUGGGCCUAAAGCGUCCGUAGCCGGCCCGGUAAAUGCCUGGGUAAAUCGUGGAGCCCAACUUCACGAAUUCCGGGUAGACUGCCGAGCUCGGGGACCGGAAGAGGGAGAGGGUACUUCCAGGGGUAGGGUGAAAAUUUCCGUUUCCAUUAACGCUUUGCGCGAAGCGGAAAGGGUUAUCACAAUCCUGUAAUCCC
rnacentral:rRNA from 1 species